UUCUUCAACUUCCUUCAA
rnacentral:sRNA from 1 species